GACCGCGUAGCUCAGUUGGCAGAGCAUUGGGCUAGUAUUCCAAAGGUCGUAGGUUCGAUUCCCACAGUGAUCA
rnacentral:tRNA from 1 species